CCUACGGGUGGCAGCAGUGAGGAAUAUUGGUCAAUGGGCGCAAGCCUGAACCAGCCAAGUAGCGUGCAGGAUGACGGCCCUCCGGGUUGUAAACUGCUUUUAUAUGGGAAUAAAGUGUGGAACGUGUUCCUUUUUGUAUGUACCAUAUCAAUAAGAAUCGGCUCACUUCGCGCCAGCAGCCGCGGUAAUACGGAGCGUGCGAGCGUAUUCCGGAUUUUUUGGGUUUAAAGGGUGCGUAGGUGGUUUAUUAAGUCAGCGGUGAAAGUAUGUGGCUCAACCCGGAAAUUGCCGUUGAAACUGGUAGACUUGAGUAUAGUAGAGGAAGGCGGAAUGCGUGGUGUAGCGGUGAAAUGCGUAGAUAUCACGAAGAACUCCGAUUGCGAAGGCAGCUUACUGGACUAUAACUGACGCUGAGGCGCGAAAGCGUGGGGAUCAAACAGGAUUAGAUACCCCGGUAGUC
rnacentral:rRNA from 1 species